ACCAUCUCACGACCACCACCAAACCCAUCCUACAGCCCUUUCACAGGGAAAAUCCAAUGCCCUUGUGCCUUGGGGCAGAGAUCUAUCUGACCUACAUCUCCUAGAAUCAUUGGAAGGGCCUUAUAAAAGUCUUCUAGUUCAACUCCCCUGUUUUGAAUGAGAACAAACAAAUCCCACUUCACUUCCAUGCCGCUGAUUUUUGCCUCUUGGCACCACCAAAAUCAACCCCUCCUCAUGUGCUGCCAUCUUUAUCCUUCAGAAUUCAUCCCACGCCCAUCCCCGGCAGCCUGCAGGACCUCUCCAGCCUCUCCUUGCUGUGGAGGCAACCUCAGGCCAGGAGUUUCUUCCAUCAUGCAUGACUUGCAUGAGCACCACGUGUGCUCAGUCCUGAGCAGCAACCCUCAUCCCUUGCAUAGCUGGCUGUAAUGACUCAUCCUUCAGAUGAUGAGAUGGUAUCAAGCAUUUGGAAUUGGGAGCUUUUCAGAGAAAAACAGCUUUGCUGAGCCACAGCCCACCCCAUUGUGGUGGGUUUCCCCCCCCCUCCCAUCUUCUGGAAUUUGCAGAGAGAUCUAUGUUUCAACUUCAGUUAUAUAGAAAACAUUUUCAUUUCCAGCUUCUGAAAAGACAUUAAGAAAUGUGAGAGCACAACGAAUUGCCAUCUGCCUCUCUCCAGGUCAUGAUGAGUUAACACAGUUGAAAGCAGAACAGUCAAAGGGUUUUGAGCACGAGAAGCAGAAAGAGGGUUUCCUGGCUUCACUGCCUCCAGAAUGGAGCAAAUUUUGCACACUGUGAGUUGAUAAAUUAAUGCUCGGAGUCUCUGCACAGUCUGUGCAAUGGAUCGACUGCUCUGCACACCCUCUCCGUGGGCAGUGCUCUUCCCAAGUGCUGCCAACGCCGUUAUCAGGAAACGGAUCAGCUCUAUCUGAGAUAAAUUGCAUUUCCACCAAUUACAGCUUAAUUGUUGACAGAUGGGAACACAGAAGGGAGAUGCGUCGAGUCAUUAAGAGGACAGGUGUAUAGAAAAGUGCCAGAUUAAUUGUUCCAGCCCAUUAAAUCGUUGACCUUUCCGGCCUACCCUCAGAGCUGAAUUCAGAGCUCUCGGGAUCCUUCCAGCUCACAUACGAUGGCUGCGUUCACAAGAAAAGCACACAGGGGUGCUUUUAAAACACACACCCCAGACACAGACUCAUUAGCAGGACUCCUUUCUCAUUUAAAGCUGUUUUCUUACUGGAGUUUGUUUUCUUGGCUUUCCCAUGCACUCACACAUGGCUCCAAGGAGAAGCUUUCUCCCCAGAGCACGCAGACUUGCUGUACGU
ensembl:lncRNA